CACGCCUAUAUUAUAUUUUCAUGUUUAGUGAGCACUAAAUCCAGGGAAAAAAACAAUUUAGUAUGGUCUAAAACUUUUAAAUCUCAUUCGAGAUGUUAAAUGCUCAAACUUUAAAGUUUUUAAAACGUAUUUAUCAAAGUCAAACGACAAUUGUUAUAUUUUUGUGAUUAAGGCCGGGUCCAAGAUAAUUGAAAGAAGGUGUAGUUCUCGAUAAUUGAAUUCAUACGGCCGAGCGUAGCGAUGCAAAAAAAUACCAAUUGUACUAUUUCAUACCAAAAUUUGUAAAGAUAACGUGUAAAAAGUUAGAUUUUAAAAAUUAUUUGCGAUCAAAAGGGAGAGUGCCUCCUCUAGCCCUGUAUCCCCGAAUGCAUGUUUAGGUAUACAUGAACAAAAACCUCGUCCCAUGCAUUCUCAUAAUUAAAGACGAAAAAGUACUAUUUGAUAAAUGUAUAAAGAUAUGAAUUUCUGCCCACGUUAAAUUGUCUUAUAAUAAAUUAAACUAUACAAACAUAAUUUGAAAACAAGUUAGUCGAGUACACCUUUUUAUUCGGGUGUGUUGGCAUCUACUUUUAAACGUUAAAACGUAUAAAAAAAUAGCAUUAUCGCUUCAGAUUUCAUGAUUUUAAUAUAUUCAUGCUAAAUUUUUACUAGGUAGUUUUUAAAAUUCAUAUUUUGGGAAGAACUGAAAUAUGGGUCAUGUGAAAUGACAAGAAACGAUGGGUGCGUUUGAUUACAAGUUACACGCUUACUCAUUUCAUUAAAAUAUUUGAGUCAAUAAAAUCAUUCAAAUUCAAUAACAAAAUAUGUAAAGAUUUAUAAAAGUAGUUGGGGUUGAUUUUUACUUUAAGUCUAUAUCAGCAAAACAUGCCUGUUCAAAGAGCAAAAAAUGCAUGCAGUGUAUGAUCCCCUCCGUCAUGCUUCAAUACAAUAGGAUAAAAUACGUUGAGUUAGGUCGGUUAUGUCGAGUCAAGUCGUUUUAUUGGAAAUCUCUAUUAGGGUUUUUCCCCUCUUAGAACACAUAGCUACACCCAGAGACAAGAAAACAAUUGAAAAUCAUUUUCUAAAAGGUGCAACGUAUAACAAACGUAU
rnacentral:lncRNA from 1 species